UUUGAGGUAGUUCAGUGGUUAGAACAACAGAAGUAGGUGUCACCGGUUCGAAUCCGGUUCUCGAUG
rnacentral:tRNA from 1 species